rnacentral:tRNA from 1 species
UGUCAAGAGAUGGGAAUCGAACCCACGACCUUGCGCUUUCCGGGCAGAUGCCAUGACCACUAGGCUACCCUGGAC